rnacentral:rRNA from 1 species
GAUGAACGCUGGCGGCGUGCCUAAUACGUGCAAGUCGAGCGAAUGGAUUAAGAGCUUGCUCUUAUGAAGUUAGCGGCGGACGGGUGAGUAACACGUGGGUAACCUGCCCAUAAGACUGGGAUAACUCCGGGAAACCGGGGCUAAUACCGGAUAACAUUUUGAACCGCAUGGUUCGAAAUUGAAAGGCGGCUUCGGCUGUCACGUUUGGAUGGACCCGCGUCGCAUUAGCUAGUUGGUGAGGUAACGGCUCACCAAGGCAACGAUGCGUAGCCGACCUGAGAGGGUGAUCGGCCACACUGGGACUGAGACACGGCCCAGACUCCUACGGGAGGCAGCAGUAGGGAAUCUUCCGCAAUGGACGAAAGUCUGACGGAGCAACGCCGCGUGAGUGAUGAAGGCUUUCGGGUCGUAAAACUCUGUUGUUAGGGAAGAACAAGUGCUAGUUGAAUAAGCUGGCACCUUGACGGUACCUAACCAGAAAGCCACGGCUAACUACGUGCCAGCCGCCGCAGUAA